AUGCAGGUGUGACCUUUCACCUCCAGGAGAUGGCCUCCGAACUUCUGCCCUCCAGGACUUGCCUGAGACUUUCAUCCAUCAGGAAGCUCCUGCUGCCUCUGUUCCCGGUGUGGACAGCCCGAGGUCCAGGGCUCCAAGUGUCCAUUUCUCUGAGCAACUGGGAAAGGAAAAGCACAGAUCUGGAAUGAAAUGUGCCCCGGAGAAAGCCAAGAGCUCUCUCAGCAUUGUGUUCACGCGUUUUCCACACAGCGCAGGAGGCAGCAGCAGAGACUUUCAGGGAAGAGGAGCCCUUGGCAUCCACAAGAAACUGGAACCCUCGGUGGGACUCAGGCCUGGGCCCCCAGCCCUCCUGGAGGACCGUAUCUAUAGGAGACUUCAGGAGACAGCCUGGCGGUGAGCCGGGGAGGGUUUCCUGAUCUGAGCAGGACAGAAAGUGAAGAACAUUGACCCACCUGUAACCAGACUCCAGCAGAAGACUGAAGCUGUGCUUAGGAACUGCAGGACAGCACUGCCCCCCACAUUCCUGGGAGGAUCCCUGAGCCUCCGGCAAGGCCAGAAGGGGGACUUUGGGAGGCUUUAAGGUUGCUUGCCACAGUUACAGGAAGCUGCACAGGAAACCCACCCAGAGAUGAAUGGGAUCAAUUGGGACCAGCCUGGGCCAUGCUGAGAGAUGAACGCUAGAAUAGCAGCAUCUCAGAGAGAUUCCUUUGUGUUUCUGGCUGUCAAUAAAUGUCUAUCCAGCUACCCGGACUAAAAUCUUGUUCAUCAAGACCCACCAUCCACUCUUCACCAACAUCCAGGUCUCCACCCUGAGAUGAAUGGGAUCAACUAGGACCAGGAUCUUCCUGACUGUCUAAUGCCAAGAGGGGCUUCCUCUGUGCCCUACAGUUCCAUUCUCAUCAGAGAACUGACCACCUAAAUGGACCGCCCAUUUCUCCACCACCUCCCCCAUCUGACUGGGAGCCACCUGAGGACAGAGGCACAUCUCACUCACCCCUGUAGCCCCAGGAGCUGGCUUCAGGCGUGGCCCAAAGUCAGGGGCUUCAGUGCACAUUGACAGAGGCAUGAAGAAUGUCAGGCUGGCAGAGUGUGGAGGGGCAGCGUGUCCCAGUGGUCACACUGUGUGGCCAACACCAUCUGUCACUCACUCACCCACCUGCCCUCUCUUCCUCCUUCUCUUGCUCUCAUGGAGGAUAGGUGCCUAUUGUCAGGAAUAAUUCUGAUUGGUCUAAAUUAGCCAUGGUAAUCUCAUCUCUCUUGGCCAGUGAUUGGUCCAGGAUAAGGGAUAGACUUGUCUAAAAUAAUUCUGUGCCCUUUUGCUCUCCUCCUUCUUCCUGGCUGGUACCCAGACAAAAUGCCUGGAGCUGUGGCAGCCCCAUUGUGACCAUGAGGUAACAAGCAGAGAGACAAAGCCAAACAUGCCAAGAAUGACAGAACAGAAAAGCAGAAUGAGAGCACCUGGUACCUGAUGGCAUCAUGAGUGCCCAGCGCCAGCAAUUGUCCUCUGGACCUCAUUUCACGUGAGAAAAAUAAACCUGUAUUUGUUAAAG
rnacentral:lncRNA from 1 species